rnacentral:rRNA from 1 species
CAGUCGAACGAGAACGGAUAUAAGUUUACUUAUAUUGUCAGCUAAGUGGCGCACGGGUGAGUAAUAUAUAGUUAAUCUGCCCCAAAGAAGAGAAUAAUUGUUGGAAACGACUUGUAAGUCUCUAUAUGCCUUUAUUACAUAAGUAAGCAAGGGAAAUAUUUAUAGCUUUGGGAUGAGACUGUACGGUAUCAGAUAGUUGGUGAGGUAAUGGCUCACCAAGUCAAUGACGCCUAACUGGUUUGAGAGGAUGAUCAGUCACACUGGAACUGAGACACGGUCCAGACUCCUACGGGAGGCAGCAGUGGGGAAUAUUGCACAAUGGAGGGAACUCUGAUGCAGCAACGCCGCGUGGAGGAUGACACAUUUCGGUGCGUAAACUCCUUUUAUAUAAGAAGAUAAUGACGGUAUUAUAUGAAUAAGCACCGGCUAACUCCGUGCCAGCAGCCGCGGUAAUACGGGGGGUGCAAGCGUUACUCGGAAUCACUGGGCGUAAAGAGCAUGUAGGCUGGUUCAUAAGUUGGAAGUGAAAUCCUAUGGCUUAACCAUAGAACUGCUUCCAAAACUGUGAACCUAGAGUAUGGGAGAGGUAGAUGGAAUUUCUGGUGUAGGGGUAAAAUCCGUAGAGAUCAGAAGGAAUACCGAUUGCGAAGGCGAUCUACUGGAACAUAACUGACGCUCAGAUGCGAAAGCGUGGGGAGCAAACAGGAUUAGAUACCCUGGUAGUCCACGCCCUAAACGAUGCACACUAGUUGUUGCUAUGCUAGACAUAGCAGUAAUGCAGUUAACACAGUAAGUGUGCCGCCUGGGGAGUACGGUCGCAAGAUUAAAACUCAAAGGAAUAGACGGGGACCCGCA